rnacentral:rRNA from 1 species
CAGUAGCCGCGGUAAAACGAAGGGUGCAAGCGUUAAUCGGAAUUACUGGGCGUAAAGCGUGCGUAGGCGGUUUGUUAAGUCUGUUGUGAAAUCCCCGGGCUCAACCUGGGAAUGGCAAUGGAUACUGGCAAGCUAGAGUGUGUCAGAGGAUGGUGGAAUUCCCGGUGUAGCGGUGAAAUGCGUAGAGAUCGGGAGGAACGUCAGUGGCGAAGGCGGCCAUCUGGGACAACACUGACGCUGAGGCACGAAAGCGUGGGGAGCAAACAGGAUUAGAUACCCCUGUAGUCCCUGUCUCUUAUAC